GCCAGCAGCCGCGUAAUUCCAGCUCCAAUAGCGUAUAUUAAAGUUGUUGCAGUUAAAAGCUCGUAGUUGAAUUUCGAGAUCAAUUUGUCGGUCGUGCCUCGGUACGUACUGGCAUUAUUGAUUUCUCCCUUCUGAAGAACCGCGAUGUCAUUAAUUUGGUGUCGUGGGGAAUCAGGACUGUUACUUUGAAAAAUUAGAGUGUUUAAAGCAGGCGCACGCUUGAAUACAUUAGCAUGGAAUAAUGAAAUAGGACGUUUGAUUCUAUUUUAGUUGGUUUCUAGGGAUCGACGUAAUGAUUAAUAGGGAUAGUUGGGGGCAUUAGUAUUCAAUUGUCAGAGGUGAAAUUCUUGGAUUUAUUGAAGACUAACUACUGCGAAAGCAUUUGCCAAGGAUGUUUUCAUUAAUCAAGAACGAAAGUUAGGGGAUCGAAGACGAUCAGAUACCGUCGUAGUCUUAACCAUAAACUAUGCCGACUAGGGAUCGGAUGAUGUUAAUUUUUUAAUGACUCAUUCGGCGCCUUACG
rnacentral:rRNA from 1 species